GCAUCCUCACUAGCACACCGCUCGAUGUUUGGCUCUGAUACCAUUUGUAACAACUCAAGCCCACCGCUCGCAGAUAAUGUCCAUUUUAGCCCGCUACGUAUCGUCAUCCGCCUCACGAUUUUAAAACGCGUCUAUUAGGGAGAGGUUUCCACACCCUUAUAAAGAAUGCUUUGUUCCCAUCUCCAACCGACGUGGGAUCUUACAAUUCAUCUCCCUUCGAGGCCUAACGUCCUCGCUAACACUCAUUCCCUUCUCCAAUCGAUGUGAGAUCCUCAAUCCACCCUCUUCGAAGCCCAACAUCCUUGAUGGCACACUGCCCGAUGUCUCAUUCUAAUAUCAUUUGUAACAGCUCAAGUCCACCGCUAGCAGAUAUUGUCCUCUUCGGGCUUUCUCU